AAUAAAAAUUUCUCUUUAUUUAAACUAAUAAAUGGAAAUCCAGAAAAUUCAUUUGUGGGAUAUCCCACUACACAAAAAAUCAAGACUAAACUGUAAUAAGAAUCAAUUAAUAUUUGCCAAAUAAGUAAGUAAUCUAAUUAAUUAACACGAGGAAAUAAAAUUCAGAUAAUGAGCUAUGAAUUCUUUGACUUGACCAGUAUCAGAAAAAAAAAAUCAUUAAGAUUACAUCAUCUCUAUUAAACUUGUACUCAUAGGCCUAAGCAACAUAGAAUUAUCUUAAAACCCGUAUGUCCUACUGAUACCCUUCAUUUUCUCUUACUUGUCUAGGUUGGUGGUGGGGUGGUGGGAAGCAUAUUAUUUAUUCACCAAAAACAGAAAUAAAAUGUAAAGUAAAUCAACAAAAUUUGCAAUUACUUGUUGCUGUUGUAUUGUCUUUAUUUUGACUUUACAGAUUUUUCCUGACACAAGUACUAUCACUCAAGAAUCAGUUUUCAUCUGCAUGAGUUCUUCUUCAUGGAGGGCAUGGUCUGUGUAUGCUCAGAGGUUGAUUUUGGCCUCAUAACUCAAGAGUCUAGUUUACUGACAAUGCAGGUAGGAAUCAUCUGACUCGCUACUCCUCCCACAAUAUGUGUUUGUCCAAGUCUGUUUGAAAAAUGACACUUCCUUCCCCUCAACGCCAACAGCAGUGCUGCAAGCCUCUCAGCCUCUAUCCACCACCAAACAGCAAGUUUAUUGUAAAGCUUCUUGAAAGCUGGAACCAGGGAAGUGGAACCAAGCAGAAACUGCUUGGUAGUUUGGAAGGACUGAUGCACAAAACAAUUGCAACCAGCCAGGCAAUCUUGGGAGCACUCCUAAGGAGUGAGGUUCAAGAACCCUGGAGAAUCUUUGCUGGUAGCUCCAUUCAAGGCAUUUUCAAUGCCUUGCCUCCACCUACAUAAUUCAGGUCCACAACAGGUCUGUGGAAAAAGACGUAGAAGAAAGAAAGAAGGUUUGAGAUCCUUAACAUCAUGGUGUCUAAAUCUGCUGUUACUGAGGCCAAGUAAUAUCUUAUUAAAGAAAUAAGAUAAAAGUCACCAUACUCAGAAUGGAAAACCCCGAAACAAACUUUUUUCUCUAUACCUGACUUUGGUAACUGGUUUUGCCAAUAUAAUACCAUUCCUAUACCAAGAUUCACAGUAUGUCUUCGUGUCUCUAGUGGUUAUAAACACUUCAUACUUGAUUUACUAUGACUUUCUAAAUUGUAAGUAAAGGCCAGCAUGAAUAAUUUCACUUCCUCUGAAUAAACCAUUAAUCUCUGUAUUUUC
rnacentral:lncRNA from 1 species